CGGGAUCGGAUGAAGAUCCUUUUCCUGUUUUCGGUUACAUUGGCUGAUCCUUUGGCACCUUCCCCUGGCAACUUCUUUAGUGGUUCAGAGUCAUCAACAACCUCUGCAGAUGUACAAUGGUGCUGCUUCAUUUUAUUCUUGUGCCCCUCUGUUUCCUCUAUCUCUGCCUGCAUCUUAUCCAUCACUAGUUUAAGCUCUUCUGGCUUCUUUUCAUUUAAAGAGGAUGAAUGGGGCGUUUCCUUUAUUCCUCCCUGCCCAAUCUUAUGUGCCUGAUUCUUACCGGAGAUGGGCUUGAGAGAGCUGAAGAUAGUAGAGUCAACAGCGAACUUGCCAACGCCGGUGAGAAAUUGGAUGAUCUUCGUCCGCAGGUCACGGUGGUGAAAGCCGUCUUUUAGAUUACGAAUACGGUUGUUUCCGACGACGUCAUCCAUCUUAUCGGCCGGCGGCGAAACGAAUCAACGUGGAAGCAAAAAUAUCUGGGCUCCGAUAGUCCCUUCACGGUGGUCCGUG
rnacentral:misc_RNA from 1 species